GGAGAUGUAGCUCAGUGGUAGAGCCCUCACCUCAUAUGUGUAGGGACCUGGGUUCGAUCCUCACCACUGCCA
rnacentral:tRNA from 1 species